CAGCAGCCGCGGUAAUACGAAGGGGGCUAGCGUUGCUCGGAAUGACUGGGCGUAAAGGGCGCGUAGGCGGCGAUCUAAGUCAGGCGUGAAAUUCCUGGGCUCAACCUGGGGGCUGCGCUUGAUACUUGGUUGCUUGAGUGGGGAAGAGGGUCGUGGAAUUCCCAGUGUAGAGGUGAAAUUCGUAGAUAUUGGGAAGAACACCGGUGGCGAAGGCGGCGACCUGGUCCUUGACUGACGCUGAGGCGCGAAAGCGUGGGGAGCAAACAGGAUUAGAUACCCCUGUAGUCCCUGUCUCUUAUAC
rnacentral:rRNA from 1 species